rnacentral:rRNA from 1 species
GAGAAUCUGCAUGGCCGAAAGCCUCAGGUUUCUGGAGGAAGGUUCGCCCGCUCCAGGUUAGUCGGGAGCUAAGGUGAGGCCUAACGGCGUAGCCGAUGCACAGACGGUAGAGAUUCCGUCACCACCAAAAGAGUUAAACACAGGGACACAUUUGAAGUCUCGGAGCCGGGUGUUGGUUCCGGUAGCGAUCGAGGGAAGUUAGUACCUAUGUCCGGGAUGGAAGAUGGCGAGAAGAGCUGUGUGUAUUUCUGCGGUGCCCGUACCGCAAACCGACACAGGUAGGUAGGAAGAAGAUUCUAAGGCCAACGGGAGAAGGGUUGUUAAGGAACUCGGCAAAUUGACCCCGUAACUUCGGGAGAAGGGGUGCUCCAGCGAUGGAGCCGCAGAGAAUCGGCCCAAGCAACUGUUUACCAAAAACACAGGUUUGUGCUAAAUCGAAAGAUGACGUAUACGAGCUGACGCCUGCCCGGUGCUGAAGGUUAAGAGGAGAUGUGCAAGCAUUGAAUCGAAGCCCCAGUGAACGGCGGCCGUAACAAUAACGGUCCUAAGGUAGCGAAAUUCCUUGUCAGGUAAGUUCUGACCCGCAUGAAAGGCGUAAUGAUUUGGGCACUGUCUCGACGGCCCGCCCGGCGAAAUUGUAGUACCGGUGAAGAUGCCGGUUACCCGCGACAAGACGGAAAGACCCCAUGGAGCUUUACUGUAGCCUAAUAUUGGGUUUCGAUGUUGCAUGCACAGGAUAGAUGGGACACUGGGAAGUGAUCGCUUUGGCGGUCAUGGAGUGGCCGUUGGGAUACCAUCCUUGCGAUAUUGGAAUUCUAACCUGCGCCUUUGAAUCAAGGCGGGGGACAUUGUUAGGUGGGCAGUUUGACUGGGGCGGUCGCCUCCUAAAGAGUAACGGAGGCGUUCAAAGGUUCGCUUAGCUUGAACGGAAAUCAAGCAAAAGAGUGCAAACGCAGAAGCGAGCCUAACUGCGAGACUAACGGGUCGAGCAGUAACGAAAGUUGGAGUUAGUGAUCCGGUGGUAUGUGAGUGGAAAUGCCAUCGCUCAACGGAUAAAAGUUACCCUGGGGAUAACAGGCUGAUCUCCCCCAAGAGUCCACAUCGACGGGGAGGUUUGGCACCUCGAUGUCGGCUCAUCGCAUCCUGGGGCUGUAUUCGGUCCCAAGGGUUUGGCUGUUCGCCAAUUAAAGCGGUACGCGAGCUGGGUUCAGAACGUCGUGAGACAGUUCGGUCCCUAUCUGUCAUGGGCGCAGGAUAUUUGAUGGGAGCUGUUCCUAGUACGAGAGGACCGGAGCGGACGUACCUCUGGCGCACCAGUUGUUCUGCCAAGAGCAUAGCUGGGCAACUAUGUACGGAUCGGAUAAACGCUGAAAGCAUCUAAGCGUGAAGCCGACCCAAAGAUAAGAUAUCCCACUGAUUUGAUCAGGUAAGAUCCCUUGAAGACUACAAGGUUGAUAGGCACAAUGUGUAAGUGGAGUGAUCCAUUCAGCAAGCGUGUACUAAUAGAUCGAGGGCUUGACCG